UUCAUUUGAGUGGGAAUCUCAAAGCAGUUGAGUAGGCAGAAAAAAGAACCUCUUCAUUAAGGAUUAAAAUGUAUAGAUCAAAAAUCUUACUUUUAUAGGAGCAGUUUUCAACUCCUAAAUGUUGAAUAUAAUAGUCAGUUAAAUUCACCAGCUACACAGGAAUACAGGACUUUGAGUGGAAGAAUUGAAUCUCUGAUUACUAAAACAUUCAAAGAAUCAAAUUUAAGAAAUCAGUUCAUCAGAGCUCAUGUUGCCAAACUGAGAAAAGAAGACAGCCAAUGUCAGGUGGAGGAACUGGUUUAUGAGGCAAGAUGGUAGUGGUGUGAGAGCGGAUGUUGUCAUGAAAUUUCAAUUCACUAGAAAUAACAAUGGAGCAUCAAUGAAAAGCAGAAUUGAGUCUGUUUUACGACAAAUGCUGAAUAACUCUGGAAACCUGGAAAUAAACCCUUCAACUGAGAUAACAUCACUUACUGACCAGGCUGCAGCAAAUUGGCUUAUUAAUGAGAAUCCUUGGAGGCACUGAGGCUGAGGAGGGAAGCUGG
rnacentral:lncRNA from 1 species